UACAGAGGUCCCAAGCGUUGUUCGGAUUCAUUGGGCGUAAAGGGUGCGUAGGCGGCGCGGUAAGUCGGGUGUGAAAUCUCGGAGCUUAACUCCGAAACUGCAUUCGAUACUGCCGUGCUUGAGGACUGGAGAGGAGACUGGAAUUUACGGUGUAGCGGUGAAAUGCGUAGAUAUCUGGAGGAAUACCGGUGGCGAAGGCGGCAUCCUGGACCGAGAUUGACGCUGAUGAGCGAAAGCUAGGGGAGCAAACGGGG
rnacentral:rRNA from 1 species